UACGGGGGGGGCAAGCGUUGUUCGGAAUUACUGGGCGUAAAGGGCUCGUAGGCGGCCAACUAAGUCAGACGUGAAAUCCCUCGGCUUAACCGGGGAACUGCGUCUGAUACUGGAUGGCUUGAAUCCGGGAGAGGGAUGCGGAAUUCCAGGUGUAGCGGUGAAAUGCGCAGAUAUCAGGAGGAACACCGGUGGCGAAGGCGGGUCUCUGGGCCGUAACUGACGCUGAGGAGCGAAAGCAUGGGGAGCGAACAGG
rnacentral:rRNA from 1 species